rnacentral:rRNA from 1 species
GAUGAACGCUAGCGGCAGGCCUAAUACAUGCAAGCCGGACGGCAAGUUGAGUAGCAAUACUUGACCUAGAGUGGCGUAAGGGUGCGUAACACGUAUGCAAUCUGCCCACAGCCGGGAGAUAGCCCUCCGAAAGGAGGAUUAAUAUCCCAUAGGAAGAUGAGAUGGCAUCAUUUUAUUUUAAACUACGGGGCUGUGGAUGAGCAUGCGGUUGAUUAGCUAGUUGGCGGGGUAAAGGCCCACCAAGGCGAUGAUCAAUAGGGGACCUGAGAGGGUGAUCCCCCACACUGGCACUGAGAUACGGGCCAGACUCCUACGGGAGGCAGCAGUAGGGGAAUAUUGGACAAUGGUGGUUAAGACCUGAUCCAGCCAUGCGCGUGCAGGAAGAAAGGCC